CGCAUCUGUGCAUGCAGCAUAUCAAUAAGCGGAGGAAAAGAAACUAACAAGGAUUCCCCUAGUAACGGCGAGUGAAGCGGGAAGAGCUCAAAUUUGAAAUCUUAAAGGGUUUCCCUUUACGAAUUGUAGUUUAAAGAAGUGUUUUCUGUUGAGGUUUUGGUAAAAGUUCUUUGGAAUAGGACAUCAUAGAGGGUGAGAAUCCCGUAUUUGACCUUUACUUUCAACUUUGUGAUACACUUUCAAAGAGUCGGAUUGUUUGGGAAUGCAGUCCAAAAUGGGUGGUAAAUUUCAUCUAAAGCUAAAUAUUGGCGAGAGACCGAUAGCGAACAAGUACCGUGAGGGAAAGAUGAAAAGAACUUUGAAAAGAGAGCUAAACAGUACGUGAAAUUGUCAAAAGGGAAGCGUUUGACACCAGUGUUGUUUUUCUGAAAAUCAAUUAAAGAACUGUUUAUGCUAAGCUGUUUAGACUUUAUCAGCUAAUCUGUUUAGUUUUGAGCUUUUCUUUAAUGCACUUUUCAGUUAACAAGUCAACAUCAAUUUCUUUUGCUGUAAAAAAGCUUGAGGAAGGUGGCUUGAGAUUCGUCUUAAGUGUUUAUAGCCUCUUGCCUAUGCAGUCGGAGAGAUUGAGGUCUGCAGCGUAGAUCCUUCGGGGCUAAAUGCAUUUGUGCUAAGUUAUAGCAUUUUAUAGACAACUUGUUGACUAUGAUUUGUCUUGUAGCUUACUCGCUUAUGUUAUUUUACCUACGCUUAGGAUGUUGAACGCGCACAGAGUCUC
rnacentral:rRNA from 1 species